UAUCUUGGGGCAGUGAUAGGACAACAGUGGGACAAGUGCAGUGAAAGAGUGAGAGACUGGAGGUGGAUAGACUUACAACUGUCCCUGUCAGAGUGAAACUACAGAAAGGAGAUGGAAACUGAGGAGUAGAACCACCUAGACCAGAGGUAGGAGGCAGGUGAGAGGACAGUCAAGAGCAACGCCAGAGUUCCAACGGACAGGGACUUGGCACCAUUAGCAGAAUCCGACUCCUACAAGCCCAGUGCAAGGCUUGCGCAAAACCACCGCGUCCAAGUAUCGGGCAGGCAGAGGCGGCGGCAAACCGCGCAUAAAUACAAGGAAGUCGUAUUUAUGGAAGCAGCUUAUGAAAGUGUAAAGAGGAGGCGAUCACGGAGGAAAAGCAUGACCAAGAAAGAGCUGAAAACACUAUUUUCAAGUCGCUCCUAUAUUCCUAGAACCGGAGAUAAAAGUCUUGCCUUUCUCAUCCGAGGUUCCUCAUCUGGAAAGAAAUCGUUUGGACUAUUUUCUCAAUUUCCCCAAGGACGGCACAUGAACAGUGCCAUCCAGGACGCCCGGCAAGUCUGUUUUUCACAUUCAAUGGACGGCGUGGGUUAUCAGGGCUUAAGCCGCUCCUGGAACUCAGGCUAAGAGAGCUGCCGGAGGACCGUUACCGAGCAAGACAGCACUCCGCGGGUGAGGCGCCAGUAACGCUUGGAUACAGCAGUUCACCGAAUCCGCCUGACAAAUUCAUCCUCAACCACUCGCGCCUAACAAGUAGCCAAAAGCGCCGGAGUCACACCCAAGCGCAGGACGACCUCUCCGCCCACCGCUCCCCGUCCAGACUUCGCUUCCCACUCCUUCCGCGCGGCACCGGCGCGGCGCGACUCCCCACUUCCGCGCGGGGGCCGGAGCCUCGGGGACCCGCCGCUCUCCUCAGCGGAGCCGCCCGGGAGACCCACCCACUCGGGCCCCGCCCCGCCCCACAGCACGUACCCGGCGUCGGCUCCCCGGGCCCCAGGCCGUGGGGUGGCCCUGCCAGGGCCCCGUCCGGGGACGUCGGCCCAGGAACACUCAUGUCCUUCCCGCUGGGCACAGGGAAGGGACAGUCUGUGCAGACGGUCAGCUGCAGUAAGAGGGCACUCAACGCGUCCAGCGCCCGGCCGGACCCGAGCGGCAGUCGCACCCGGAAAUGACGGAAGCGGAAGACGGUGUGGCGCCCCGCCCCCGGCCGUCCCCUCUUCUUGCCUCCGCCUCCGCACGGCCGCCCGCGGCGCUGCUGGGACUCCGCGCUGACGUCGUCGCAGUCGGGGGCGGGGCGCGGCGUCGGAAGAGUGAAUGAUUUUAAGGCCUGGAUUGCAGUAUCUACUGGGCAGAUUCAGCCAAAUUACCGGAAACUGCGCGUGCAGAGUUCCUGUGGGAUGACGUCACGGUUUUAAUGAAAAACUUAGAAAUGAGCAGAGGCAGCCCCAGACCAAAUAGGAAGAUGAGCUAUGCGCUCCUGCCCUGGAUCCUCUCACCUUGAGUAUUUUAACUCGUUGUAUCAAGUGCUUGUUGAAGAUCCAGAUCCAUUAUGCAGGAAAAAAGGUAGGAAGAUGAUAAUACCAGACCCACUACUUGAUAUAAUUCUUCUCAUCUUUCCAGCUUAUCUCUUAACUCAGGCAAGAGACCUGAGUGGCAUAGCUCCAUGAUGGAAACUGAAACUGCCCUUUAAGCAGUAAUGACUGCCCUGACAAGACCUCCAUCUGGCCCAGACCACCCAGACCAGUUGAAGCUCAACCUCCAACUCACACCUGUGCAGAUGGACCAGGGAGUCACCCAUGGAGACUGAUGACAGCUACCUUUACCUCAUUAUAAUGCCAAAAUCUCUGCCCAAGGACAAGCAUAAGCCUCAUUGACAUAACAUACAAUGUAUGUAUAGGCAUGUUUCCUUAAGGCACAUGCACACCUCUACCUACAAGAAUUCCCAUGAUAUCCUAUGCUGCAAAUCAAGUUUAUUAUAUGUGACAACUCCACUUGAUAUAGUUUCUGUGACUCACCAAAGGAGCAAACUCAUGUUUGUUCAGUUGUAAGAUGUCUUAUUUUAUUUGUGAAAAAUUGGAGGCACAGUUAGAUUUUUCCCCACCCUGAAUAAAAGAGGUAACCAUGGGGCACCUUGGUGGCUCAGUGGUUGAGCAUUUGCCUUUGGCUCAGGUAGUGAUCUUGGGGUCCUGGGAUCAAGUCCCACAUCCGGCUUCCUGCAGGGAGCCUGCUUCUCCCUCUGCUAUGUCUCUGUCUCUUUCUGUGUGUCUCUCAUAAAUAAAUAAAUAAAGCUUAAAAAUAAUAAAAUAAAAUAAAAUAAAAUAAAAUAAAAUAAAAUAAAAUAGGUCACCCAUCCCCCCCUUAGCAAUGACCUGGGAGAUACUGCUGGGGAAGCCAUCCUUUUGGGCCAGUGCCAGAAAAGGACAGGAGAAGAAAGAGAAGGGUUUUGUGUUUACAGUAUGAUGUCUUGAUCCAGCAUCUGGGGUGGAGGCAGUCUACACCUUGAUGUCAGCUACUUUUCUUCUGUCAAUUUGAUUUAGAGGUCUCUAGCAUCUUUUCAUUUUACAGCUGGGCCAGUGGUCAGGAGCACUUGGGACAACCCCUUUAAGGGCAUGAGGACUGUUUUUCUCUGAUGAUGUUUUACAAUACCAAGUUAUUAGGCUCUCGACUAUAAAAAAAAACAGGUUUCUUUUUUUUUUAAGAUUUUAUUUAUUUAUUUGAGACAGAACACAAGCAGGGGUAGGGAGUAGAGAGAGAAGCAGGCUCCCCACUGAGCUGGGAGCCCAACUCAGAGCCCAACCCAGGACCCUGGGAUCAUGACCUGAGCUGAAAGCAGACACUUAACCAACUGAGCCACCCAGGUGCCCCCAGACAGGUUUCUUUUAACAGGAUUCAGGAAAGCUUCUUAACCUGUUGAUGACAGGCUUGAGCAUAAAACAUUAGAGACUUAUAGUAGCUGGCCAUAUUAGCAUGAAACAGCAGGGAUCAGUAGAAGGUUGUAGACUGAUAGAAUUUCUAGAAUUUUGCAAGGUUUUGUUAAGGCUCUAGUGAUUUGUCUGGUGAAGUGGGUGUCUUGACUCCUAGAGAUGAUGGAAAGUACACCUCAGUAAGAAACAUUUUUUUUAGACUCCAUUUACUUAUUCAUGAGAGACAGAGAGAGGCAGAGAUAUAGGCAGAGGGAGAAGCAGGCUCCCUGCCCGAUUCAGGACUCAAUCCCAGGACUCUGAGAUCAUGCUCUGAGCCAAAGGCCGAUGCUCAACCACUGAGCCACCCAAGUACCCUAGGAAACUUUUUUUUUAACCAGUUUUUUGUUUUUGUUUGGUUUUACUGUGAAGACAUCAGCCUUGUAGCAAGGAAAGAUUCAACCCCACCUGGAAAACACACGUACAAAUAUAUACUGAUAAUUCUUACUAAGUGGCAGCUUAAUAAAGUCCAGUUGCAGGUAUUAAAAUUUUAUAGAAGUCUCUACACUAAUGCCUAUUUAUAACCUGAGUCCUCUUAAAUGUACGAUGGUGGGCAAAGGAGGACAAAAACUGAAAAUUGGGCUUUGUCAAGGAGCCAAAAAAGAAGAAAGCAACUGUCUUGGGCUUCUCAUAGUCCUGUUUCUUAAAUUUAUAACCACUAUGUGUCUAUAUUAAUACUAAUUUUUUCAGAUGCAGACUGUUGCCAUGUCACAAGGACAUUACGAUGGCAAAAGUGUGGCAAAAAGGGGCCAUUUGCACAACAGAAUGGACUUUAUCUGUAUGUGCCACAAUCUUACAAAUAUAAAAAAGGCUUAGUAUUAUUUAUUUGACAAUAUUUUCUAUGUAAUCUACAUAGUAAAUAAGCCUAAUUAGUUUUACAACUCUUUUGUAAUAUUUCAAGUCAAAGAGACUUAAGAAUUUGAUUUUGGGAAGUCUGUCAAAAAUAUUUGUUUUAAAGUUUUUAAGCACUUAUCUAAAUGGGGUCUUGGAUCAUUAUAAAACUUGAUAUUUAAAAGAUAAAGAAACUUAUAAAAACCUUAUCAAAAGCAGAUUAAAAGUUCAAGAAAACUUUGUUCUUUUAACAGAGAGAAGACUGGGUCACCUGGGUGGCUCAGCGGUUGAGUGUUUGCCUUUGGCUCAGGGCAUGAUCCUAGAGUCCUUGGAUGGAGUCCCACAUCGGGCUCUCAGCAUGCUGCCUGCUUCUCACUCUGCCUAUGUCUCUGCCUCUCUCUUUCUGUGUCUCUCAUGAAUAAAUAAAUAAAAUCUUAAAAAAAAGAAGAAGACCAAAUUUUAACUUUGUACCAGCUUAAUUUUGAUAUUAAAACUUAUUUUUUAAUAAAUUUAUUUUAAUCUUAGCCACCUUGACCACACAUUAAAAUUUUUUGAGAGUUUUUUUUCUAUAUUCUGAUUUCAUCCUAUUGUUACUGAAAUCCAAGUUCAUCUGCUCAACCCCCAAAAGCUAAUACUUGAGAGACAAGUGUUGGUCUGAAAGGAAGGGUUGCUAAGGGUGCCUGGGUGGCUCAGUCAGCUAAGUGACUGGCUCUUGGUUUUGGCUCAGGUCACCAUCUCAGAGUGGUGAUAUGGAGCCCUGAGCCCAUACUCAGAUUUUCUGAGCAUGGAGUCUGUUUAGGAUUCUCUCUCUCUCUCUCUCUCUGCCCCCCUCCACCCCUCCCUCUGCUCACUCUCCCUUUGUGCACUCAUUCUUUCUCUUUCUCUCUCUCAAAAAUAAAUAAAUCUUUUCUAAAAAUUUAAAAAGGAAAGGUUGCUUUAUUCAUGAGGCUAGGCAACCUGGGAAGAUGGUGGACUAAUGUCCAAAGACCAUCUCCACAAAGUCCUCGACCAAGCAGGGUGUUUUUAAGGGGAAGGCACUAGAAAGUGGUAGAGUCCACAUGCAGGGGAAGCAUUCUUAAUGUGAUCUCAAGUGGACUUGCCGGCAUAAGGGAAGACUGUUCAGUAAUGUAGUCAAGCUGGAUCUUCUAUGAAUAGAUUGUUCUUUGUUUCCCCCCAGGCCAGUGUUCUGUUGAAAUCUCAAAGAAGCUAUAAUUAGUCAACCUAUAAGCUAGAUGGCACAGGUCAGUGAGUUAGAGAUAUGUAGCCUUCAAACUGCUUGGAAUACAAUUACACAGUGUUUCCAUUUCAAACCAACCUUAUUUUAGGACAAAAUUAUUAUUAUUAUUAUUAUUAUUAUUAUUAUUAUUAUUAUUAUUAUUUUACUAUUAUUUGUGGGGCAUCCCAAUUAGGUGGGGGCUGGUGGCACAGGUGGUGAAAGAAUUCACCCAGAAUUCAAGGCAGCAAAAAGAGAUAGAAGUUUAUUGAAUACACUGCAAGGGAGUGGUGGGCAGGGCAACAAAGGAGACACCGACUGUAACAAGACAGUGGGAGGGGCCACAGUUAUCGGGCACAGUGAGUAGGUAUGAGAAUGCAUGAAAUCGUCCCUUUUUUGGUAAUCUUAGGAACUGAGCCUGGUCCUAAUUGGUCAGUUAGGGCCUAUGGCUAUUUCGAGGUGGGUUGCUUGAGCCUAUUUGCAUUACAUGUUUGCAUUCAGCCCGGCAGUCACUGUGAGCCCUUUUGCCUUACUCAGGUUUUCACUGCUCAAGCUUGUCGCUUAAAAGUGGCCUCUAAAUUAUUAUUAUUACUGAAAACAUAUCUCAUUUUCCUGACAUAGGGAGAUGUUUCUUAUUGUUUUUAGUAGUUUUAAUUACACAUUAAUCAAAAAUUUUAACCUUAGAAACCUUGGUUUCUAGUUACAGGUGCCAAGGGCAGGUCAUCCUAAGGCCACUCUGGCGAAUGUUAUUUUGAGUUAAAAGCAAUUAAAACCCAAAAGAUUUGGGAAAAGCUCUUCACGUCUCUCUCAACUGCCUGCUUGUACUAAGAGAGCUAUUAAGAGUCUCUUUCCUUAAGUAAUUUACCUACAUCAUAGAGCAACCUUUGCCUUCCAAAUAUCUCCUCUCACCUUCCUGCUAACGGUCCUUCUCCUCCUUGUAUCCUCAGACCUCAUCCAUCCCCUUAGCUCUUAUAAGCCUCAUGUUGCCUCAUUGUCUUUGGAAUUUCUAUGUCUAUGUGGAUUUCCUGUGCAUACGCCAUUAAAUUAGAUUUUCUCUUCUAUAUGUGUCACAUGUCAAUUUGAUUCUUAGUCCAGCUAGAAGGACCUUGAAGGAUAAAGGAAAAUCAUCCUCCUUAACACAUUGAAAACUAAGUAAGCAAUUGUGAUCAGUCUGGCAUAUAAUUUUCACAUCUUCAAAUUAAUAAAUAUUUUAAAUUUUUAGAAGCAUGUGUCUUUUUAACUUAAUGUAACAGUAAUAUAUUUAAAUAAUUUUAGCUUCUCUUUACUAGGAAGCCAAAAAUAGAUAAACCUAUGUUUAGUAAUUAGUGUUAGAGUAUUUUGUCUUAUUUGGAAAUACUCUAGAUAUUUAAUGAAUUUAACUUAACCAAUUAUUUGCCCCAAAACUUUGAGGAAACUAUUGUUGGGGAGGACAUUGAUCCCUUACCUAAAUUUUUUAAUUUAUCCAUUUGUUUGGGAUGCCUGGGUGGCUCAGUGGUUGAGCAUCUGCCUUCGGCUCAGGGCCUAAUUCUGGAGACCCAGGAUUGAGCCCCACAUCAGGCUUCCUGCAUGGAGCCUGCUUCUCCCUCUGCCUGUGUCUCUGCCUCUCUCUCUGUUUUUCAUGAAUAAAUAAAUAAAAUAGUUUUUAAAUCCAUUUGUUUUUAACGAUUGUAUUUAGAUUACUUACAAAGACUUUAUGAACAUUAGACAAAGUCAGUCAUUAUUUUAAGCCAUAAUUUUUGUGUUAAUA